rnacentral:rRNA from 1 species
CGGGAAAUCCUUUAGGUGAUAGCGAGGUGCUCGGAAGCACGUAACACAGGUGCUGCAUGGCUGUCGUCAGCUCGUGUCGUGAGAUGUUGGGUUAAGUCCCGCAACGAGCGCAACCCUUGUCAUUAGUUGCUACAUUCAGUUGGGCACUCUAAGGAGACUGCCGGUGUUAAACCGGAGAAGUGGGGAUGACGUCAAGUCCUCAUGGCCCUUAUGUCCAGGGCUACACACGUGCUACAAUGGCCGGUACAAAGGGCUGCCAAGCCGCGAGGUGGAGCCAAUCCCAGAAAGCCGAUCGUAGUCCGGAUUGUUCUCUGCAACUCGAGAGCAUGAAGUCGGAAUCGCUAGUAAUCGCGGAUCAGCAUGUCGCGGUGAAUACGUUCCCGGGUCUU